rnacentral:rRNA from 1 species
UGGGAGUGCUCGAAAGAGAACCUGCACACAGGUGCUGCAUGGCUGUCGUCAGCUCGUGUCGUGAGAUGUUGGGUUAAGUCCCGCAACGAGCGCAACCCUUGUCAUUAGUUGCUACGAAAGAGCACUCUAAUGAGACUGCCGGUGACAAACCGGAGGAAGGUGGGGAUGACGUCAAGUCCUCAUGGCCCUUAUGGGUAGGGCUUCACACGUCAUACAAUGGUACAUACAGAGGGCCGCCAACCCGCGAGGGGGAGCUAAUCCCAGAAAGUGUAUCGUAGUCCGGAUUGUAGUCUGCAACUCGACUGCAUGAAGUUGGAAUCGCUAGUAAUCGCGGAUCAGCAUGUCGCGGUGAAUACGUUCCCGGGUCUUGUACACACCGCCCGUCACACCAUGGGAGCGGGUUUUACCAGAAGUAGGUAGCUUAACCG